CGGUCGGCGCAUGCGCACAGCUCGGGCGCGCGGCCGGCGACGGAGCGUGUGCGGCCGGGGAGGGUCCGAGGGGGGCCCGCAGGCCUUUCGAAGUCGGUGUGACGAAAGCGCCAGAAGAACCUCCGUCAGAGCCCGUCUCCCUCUGUGGGAAGCCUCUUCUCGACCCUUCCUGGGUCAGGGCCACUUGUUCUCUGCUCCCAGGCUGGCGCCACAGGCCAGAGGCGUUGGGGAAGUUCAGCAACUGCCCCUCCAACACGGGAGGAUAAGGCUCUGAACCCCUCUUCCCGCCCUUGAACCCGUGGAAAUUCUGGACCAGCUCUCCUGGCCUUGUGAUGGUUUGCACGUUGGACCCCAACGCUUGGCUACCAGGUGAUGUUCACCAAAGUGAACUUGUCACAUUCCCCAUUUCAGCGCCACGCUGUGUUCUCUGCCAUCAGUCAAUCUCCACGCUGUUCCCAGAGUUGGAAGUAAUUCCUUCAAGUAGUUCGUUUUACUUGGUCCCGUGGCUACAAAGUCUUUGGUCCUAGGGCAAUGGAGGACAGAUUGAGAUCGGAAAGGUCAUUUUGAAUUAAUUAGCCCCUCACCCAAAGAAAACAUUCUGGCAAAGCAAGGACAGCACACGUGGAAGCAGGAAUUCCUCGUGUGUCUCCUGUUUUGGUGAACUAAUUGGGAAGGAGGUCGAGUUGGUACCUAGAGUCAAAUAUCCCAGCUCUUUACAAAGGACAGUUCGCUCUUUGAAGGGAUUUGUAAUGGGGGUAGAUGAAGAGUGAUGUAUAUAUACAAAUCAACAAUAUCAGACUCUGAUAAAUGCCAAAAAAAGAAAUAACAGCCCCAGAAAAGCAACAGACUUUUAACGUUAAUUUCAGGUUCUGUCUUUUGAAUUAAUAUUUUGCAUUCCAGCCUAAACAAAAUGUACUGUUUGGUGCAUUUGCAUUUCAUAUUUUAUGAGUCAUUCCAGAUUGUAGAAUCUUAGUUCCACAGGGGCUGUAAGGGAAACCACCUUUUCUGUAACUGAGGAAACAGGAUCAGACAGUUUUGAGACUUGAGGGUAGUUUUGACAUGUCAGUGGCAGGGCUGACCCAAUGCCUAGUACAGAAUAUCUCCCUUAAUCCCAUCGUUUUCUGGUAUAAGAGCUGCUGGGAUUACAAGGAGGGCAAGUUGUUUUUAGAGUUGUUGGGGGUUUUUUUUGGUGUGCCCUCUGCAUGUGGAAAUUCCCAGUCAGGGGUCUAACCGGUGCCCAGCAGCAACCCCAGCUGCGGCAGUGACAAUGCCAGAUCCUUAACCUGCUGUGACACGAAAGAAUUGCAGCGUUUGUUUUUUAGAUUAGUGUAAUGACCCUGAUCUAGUGUUCAAUGCGAGGACCCUGCCUUUUCAGAAAUUAAAUCCGGGGAAAGUGAUACUUAGAUGUGGGAAGUAGGAAGAGGGUGGUUGGACACUGCCGUGAGAGGAUCUUAUUUGCUUUGUUGAUUCCACUGGAAUGGAAAUAGGAUUGAAUUGGAGUUUUGGUCAAGUUUCAAGUCAUCAGGUAUUUAAUGAGUAUUCACCAAGUGCCAAGUAUUGUGUCAGGCAUUUCAUGCAGUGCACAGAAGAGUUGGGUUAGAUUCCACUGUCCACAAGGAAUUUAAGAGACUAGGAUGAAAUCAGUUCAUAAAUAAUUUUAAGUACAAGGGAAUACAUGGGACCUUGAACCUGGAGACUCCAAGUUAAUGUUUGUUGAAUGAAACGAAUAAAUGAAGCAGUCUGGGAUUUCAAAGCACACAGAGGUUACCAGCGGUGGUGAAUGGGAGGGGAGGGGGCUUGUAUAGAUGCAUCAGGAACAUAACCAAUCAUAGGUUGGAAAGGUUACAUGUUUGCCAAGGCCUAAGGAUUUCCUUCUGCUAAGGAGAGGUUUGAUUGAGUAUCUGGAAUGUGGAUUUGGAGAGUAAGAAGAUUGGUUCUUGCUUGUGCCAUCAGCUAAAUGACAGUGAAGACUAACUGCCCAUCUGCCUCCAUUUCCAUCUCUUACCUGCGUUAACGCCUGCCAGCUAUGCACCACAAAAGCUUGCUAGGAAUAUUAUUGAAUCAAUGCCUAUAAAAGCUAUAUGUAAACAAGAACAAAAACGUAAAUGCUUGCUUUGUGUUACUGCUUAAUAAUCCGUAUGCUUUAGACAUCGUCCCAGUUGCUGGGCAUAGUCCUAAGGGGGGAGUUUCCUGUGGAGAGGACCUUCUGCAGUUCAGUGCAGAGAGAUUGAAAAAUACAUGCAGGUUCUUCCACUCUAUAGACGGCUCACCCAGUUUGUUUCUGUAGCACAGGGACGGGCCCAGCUUAUCAGGGGUCUCACAUGGUAUAGACAUAGCAUACUAUCACAAAUACCGUACUCACAAGAAGAAGCCCAUAAACAUACUUAUGAAGAGCAGGGAUUGCUUUCCUAAUUUAAUAAGCGAAAUCUGUCAUUUACAAACCCAUAAAUCUCCUGGAAGCCAAGGCCACUUCUUACACAUUUUGUUUCUAACACAUAUUCCCAGAUUAUGCAAUCUUAUUUUAAUAAAAAGGUAGUAUGAUGGAA